rnacentral:rRNA from 1 species
AACGAACGCUGGCGGCAUGCCUAACACAUGCAAGUCGAACGAGACCUUCGGGUCUAGUGGCGCACGGGUGCGUAACGCGUGGGAACCUGCCCUUAGGUUCGGAAUAACUCACCGAAAGGGGUGCUAAUACCGGAUAAUGUCUUCGGACCAAAGAUUUAUUGCCUGUGGAUGGGCCCGCGUUGGAUUAGCUUGUUGGUAGGGUAAAAGCCUACCAAGGCGGGGAUGGGUAGCUGGUCUGAGAGGAUGAGCUGCCACACUGGGGGUGAGACGAGGCACAGACGACUACGCGAGGGAGGAGUGGGGAAGAUAGUAUAAUGGACGGGAGCAAGACGCAGCACCGCAGCGUGCGGGAUGACGGAAGUCGUGUUGUAAAGAGAGUUCGUUUGUCCCGAAGCGUGAGUGAGGUUACUGGGUAAAGAAGCACCGGCUAACUCCGUG